rnacentral:misc_RNA from 1 species
UUGAAUAAACUUGAACAGGCUGUUGCUGACCCUCAGGGUAAGUGCACGCUUGUCAUCUUUAUUUCUCCAACUGUGCACAUAUUGUAGAUCUGGAGUUCUUGUUGAAAUUUUCCUUUUCGAGUUGGGACUGCUGUGCUUUCAGCUUUGCCUUUGAGGAUCUUCCAGGUCUAUGUCAUUUUCACAACCUCUUGAAUGCGUAUAGAAUGUUGAAUCAGGUCCUUUUUUGUACCUAUAAAAGUUAAAUAUA